CAUAGCAGAUCUAGAGGUAACAUCAGGAGUGACAUAGCAGAUCUAGAGGUAACAUCAGGAGUGACAUAGCAGAUCUAGAGGUAACAUCAGGAGUGACAUAGCAGAUCUAGAGGUAACAUCAGGAGUGACAUAGCAGAUCUAGAGGUAACACAGAGUGACAUAGCAGAUCUAGAGGUAACAUCAGGAGUGACAUA